AUUGAACGCUGGCGGCAGGCCUAACACAUGCAAGUCGAACGGUAACAGGAAGCAGCUUGCUGCUUUGCUGACGAGUGGCGGACGGGUGAGUAAUGUCUGGGAAACUGCCUGAUGGAGGGGGAUAACUACUGGAAACGGUAGCUAAUACCGCAUAACGUCGCAAGACCAAAGAGGGGGACCUUAGGGCCUCUUGCCAUCGGAUAUGCCCAGAUGGGAUUAGCUAGUAGGUGGGGUAACGGCUCACCUAGGCGACGAUCCCUAGCUGGUCUGAGAGGAUGACCAGCCACACUGGAACUGAGACACGGUCCAGACUCCUACGGGAGGCAGCAGUGGGGAAUAUUGCACAAUGGGCGCAAGCCUGAUGCAGCCAUGCCGCGUGUAUGAAGAAGGCCUUCGGGUUGUAAAGUACUUUCAGCGGGGAGGAAGGGAGUAAAGUUAAUACCUUUGCUCAUUGACGUUACCCGCAGAAGAAGCACCGGCUAACUCCGUG
rnacentral:rRNA from 1 species